GUCGUGAGAUGUUGGGUUAAGUCCCGCAACGAGCGCAACCCUCGUCCUCUGUUGCCAGCAGGUCAAGCUGGGCACUCUGGGGAGACUGCCGGUGAUAAACCGGAGGAAGGUGGGGAUGACGUCAAGUCAGCAUGGCCUUUAUGUCCAGGGCUACACACGUGCUACAAUGGGCGAGACAAAGCGCUGCAAACUCGCGAGAGUGAGCCAAUCGCACAAACUCCGUCUCAGCUCGGAUUGCAGGCUGCAACUCGCCUGCAUGAAGUUGGAAUCGCUAGUAAUCGCGGAUCAGCAUGCCGCGGUGAAUACAUUCCCGGGCCUUGUA
rnacentral:rRNA from 1 species